rnacentral:rRNA from 1 species
UACAGAGGUCUCAAGCGUUGUUCGGAUUCAUUGGGCGUAAAGGGUGCGUAGGUGGCGCGGUAAGUCGGGUGUGAAAUUUCGGAGCUUAACUCCGAAACUGCAUUCGAUACUGCCGUGCUUGAGGACUGGAGAGGAGACUGGAAUUUACGGUGUAGCAGUGAAAUGCGUAGAGAUCGUAAGGAAGACCAGUGGCGAAGGCGAGUCUCUGGAAAGCUGCUGACGCUGAGGCACGAAGGCCAGGGGAGCAAACGGG